AAAAACAGAGGUCCUUUUAAAGGCAACUAACACAGUGACCCCUUAUGUUGUUUAAUAACCUGAGGGCUCAAAUCUUUAGGUUUAAGUCAAAUACACUAUUAACAGCACCAAAAUGCAGGAGAUAAGCUGAACAAAUAUAAUUUUUAGCUCUUUGCAUGACAGCCUCAUAAAUGAUAAAAGUUUUUUUUUUUGGUUUUGUUUUUAUUUCUUGAAAAUAUUUUGUUUUGAAUUCUUAUUUUAAUCCCAAGGAUUUGCAGCAAAAUCGAUGCUCACAAUUUAGUCAGCUGUUACCCCGAAGGGACCUUAGGUAAGCCUCUAAUUGGCUGGUGCCCUCAUUAGCAAACUGGGACAGGAAGGGCCCAAGAACACAGCAGAGUUUUUCCAAAGGCUACUCUGGUCCUGGGUUGUCUCUACAGGCCUGAAAUAAGACAAUUCUGCCCCUGCCUCUACAAAGGACUAAAGAUGGGUGUUCUGGGAACUUUUCUAUUAUUCUCAGAAUCUCUUUAGAAGCUAUUGUCUCUCACCGGGAGCUGCUUGGGCAAGAUUUCCACUUCAGGGUCUGAGGAUAAAAUACAAAACCCAACAAGGAGUUUAUCAUUAACCGAAGCCCCAAGUUACAGGAUACUGUGCACGAGUCUCGGCCCCAUGAACCUGCCGCAGACGUCCGCCCAGGAAGAGCACACCAUUUUCUUUGUCAAGUUUCACAGGGUUCCGACAAGUAGCAGCUGGUGUGGCAGCGGCAGGUUGAGCGUCGAGAGCAGUGGGGUGAGAGCCUGUGGAAGGGUCGCCAUGGGGAAGCUGGCAGCACACCUUUCCCAGCGACAGCCCUGGAAGGCCCUCCUCAGCUCCCAGGAGACAGCUCAGGAGCGCUAAGAAGGCUGCCGUAGAUAAAAGUCCCUCGCCAGGGGAACACCAUUCCAGAAAGCUGCAUGCUGAACGAAGUAUGACGGUUGUCUGGAGGAAAAGCAGUUAUGUAAUUGAGCUGUAAGCUAAACCGACGGCUUUUUUUACGAAACGCCAUUUUUACUCGAAGGAACAAAUAAUACUCAAACUAUGGUUAUUUGGGGCUUCAAGAAAAACAACUGAUAUUAUUUAUUGCCUAUGAUAAAAUUUGAGCUUUCACAAAACUGAGAAUUUUGGAAACCUUGUAUCCGACACAUGAAGCCAAGAGGAUCUUUCCUUUGUCCCUGGUGUUCUGAGAUUUUAUGAUGAUAUGGUCUGGAGAUGAUGUGUAUCCACCAUGGUGCUGGGCACUGGGUUCUUUCAAUCUGGAAAGUCAAAUCCUGCAGGAAAGGGGCAUUUUGUUGAGUUAUUUUGUUGAUCAUUUCUUCUCCCUUUUUUGAUUGUUCUCAAUUUCUGGAAUAUUCAUUGAAAAAAUACUGGAUAUCCUGGACUAGUCCUCUAAUUUUCUUAUUUGUUCUAUCUCUUUCUGGGACAACUCCUCAACUCUAUCUGCCAACCAGAAUUUUGAGUUGCCUUUAUUUCUUCUAUCAUGUUUUAAAUUUCCAUGAGCUCUUUCUCCCUGCUCCUGUUUCUUGUUUUAAAGUAUCUAGAUCUUAUAAUUUCUUUAAAAAAUUCUCUAGAGAUAUAAAUGAUAAUUUCUUUUCCCUGUACAGUCUGUUUUGUCCUAGUUGCUUUUUUCUGUUUGUUUGCUUUGGUUUUUCUAUUUCAUGGUAGUGGCUUUAGUUUUAGUUGUCUCUCUCUCUCUCUCUUUUAAGUAAGCUGUAUGCCCAGAGUGAAGCUUGAACACAUGACCCCAAGAUACAGAGUCGCACGCUCCACUGACUCAGCCAGCCAGGUGCCCCUUGGAUGUCUCUUCAUACGUGGAAGUGAAAUCCUGAAAUGCUGAUUUUUAGUGAAAUCCUAAACAGCUCUGCUCGCGUUGAAGGAACUUGCUGCCUCUAAGAUUCUGUACAGGGAGAGGAGCUGGGCUGUUGGUUGGGGAGUGCCUGAGGCGAUGAUCCUUAACUCUUCACACUCUGAUUCCUCAAGCAAAGUUUCUCAUCUCCGGACUCAAGAGUAUAAGCCUUGGUGACCAGAAUUCUGCAUUUAGCUGGAAAAGAAAGCUGGGACUUUUAACAUUUAGGAGGCUAGCACUCAAUCAACCUCUCCCAAACGACCAUUACCAUUAAGUGUGUUUGGUGUCCUCCUGUUCAGACAUCCUUAACUUCAUCCUGUCCAGAGAAUAAAUUUCUGUUCUUCUUCCAAGUUACGGGAGGGGCAAUCUUUCUAAAUGAACUGUCAACCAAUACGGUUAGUUUCCUCUUCACCCACCUCUCUUCCACUUUGUGCAGUUACCUGGUGCCAUCAAUUUCUGAAUUUCUUUAGGGUGCGGCUAUGCAAAAUUGAGUUGUUUCUUGGCCUUCUCGAUUGUUGGCUCAGGAUUCAGCUUUCUCAGGACUGCUAAGUCAGUGACCACUCAUCCAUCUGCUUCCCAGUUCCAAAAUUUUGUUGCUGUUGUCUGCUCUCCCAUUCUCUUUGUCCUUGUGGGUUUAUGCCUUUAAAAAAAAAUCUCUUCGCUGUUGUUUUAGUGAGGUUUUGGGAGGGAAUGAAAGUAAAUGUGGGUAUUUGAUUCUCCAUCUUUAUUUGGAGCCUCUUUGUAAUUAAAUAUCUUCUUUUUACUUCCAUUGAAUAUUACAGCAUAAACAUUUCCUAUGCUCUUACAUGGUCCCUGCAACAGCUCUAGUAACUGCAUAACAUCCCACUGAAUCGGUGCUGUAUGUUACUUAAUCAUUACCUUAUUUUUGGAUGUUUAGGGUUGCUUCUGUCUGUGGGGAGAAGACUAGUUUUUCUUAGGGUUAUCUUCCAUUUAGCUGUCUCAUUUAUCCCCCACCUUUAGGGAGUGCCUGCUGACAUUCUUCUCCUUUCUGUGCUUGGUCUGUAGUUUCAUCACCUUGGGCCCUGAUUAUGGCAUUGCUCUGUGCCAGUUUAAUUCAUCUUCCAACUAGCAGGUCACCUGCACAAAGAUGUGGCACUAAUCUUUCCAAAAUGUCACCUUUCUCAUGACCCUUCAGAGGAACCCUAACAACCCAGAAUUCAUUUGCGACUGUCAUCUGAGGGUCCCCACAGGUUGACUCCGUGCCACCUUCCCAAGCUCUCAACCCUUUCCCCGCAGUGUCCUCCUUCAAACAGGGCCCGUCCUCCUAACUGUAGCCCCUUCUGCCCCUUCUGCCGCUGCCGGUCCACAUUCGGCUUUACAUCUCAGCUCCUGCACUAAGCCUCCCCAGUGACUUUGUUUACAUAAUUCCUUCUUCCGUUUGAUAAAAGAUAAGAAAGAAACAACCUAUUUCCAACUGCUCACGGUCAGUCUGGCCUUCUAAAUGGACUGACAGCUCUUCAGAGGCAGGGGGCUCUCCUCUGUUCUCUAUGGCGACCGCCCGUACAGUGGCCUUCUACCACCGUGGGACUCCAGCUCGGCACCAGGCACAAAGGGGGCGAUUAACAGGGACUCACUGAAGGAACUGCUCACGCGUGUAAGCUGUUACCUUGCCCUCUGGGGUGAGUGUCCAGAUCACAGAGAAGGUCAGCUUGUCUGUCAUGGGGUGGAGGCUGCACAGCUCCUCACACAGCAGCCUGGGAAGCAUGGGGACAACCUGCAAGCAAAGAACAGGCCCAUGAGCACAUUGCUCUUUCAUCUGCAGGAGUUGACCAGACUUGGGAGCCACCCAGAGGACAGAGUUGUUGUUGUUUUUUAAUUUUUAACGUUUAUUUAUAUUUGAGAGAGAGAGAGAGAGAGAGAGAGAGAGAGAGAGAAGGGCAGAGAGA